AGGCUGCAGUGGGGAAUAUUGCACAAUGGGCGCAAGCCUGAUGCAGCAACGCCGCGUGAGGGACGAAGGCCUUCGGGUUGUAAACCUCUUUUAGUAGGGAAGAAGCGAAAGUGACGGUACCUGCAGAAAAAGCACCGGCUAACUACGUGCCAGCAGCCGCGGUAAUACGUAGGGUGCAAGCGUUAUCCGGAAUUAUUGGGCGUAAAGAGCUCGUAGGCGGUUUGUCGCGUCUGCUGUGAAAACUGGAGGCUCAACCUCCAGCCUGCAGUGGGUACGGGCAGACUAGAGUGCGGUAGGGGAGAUUGGAAUUCCUGGUGUAGCGGUGGAAUGCGCAGAUAUCAGGAGGAACACCGAUGGCGAAGGCAGAUCUCUGGGCCGUAACUGACGCUGAGGAGCGAAAGCAUGGGGAGCGAACAGGAUUAGAUACCCUGGUAGUCCAUGCCGUAAACGUUGGGAACUAGAUGUAGGGACCAUUCCGCGGUUUCUGUGUCGCAGCUAACGCAUUAAGUUCCCCGCCUGGGGAGUACGGCCGCAAGGCUAAAACUCAAAGGAAUUGACGGGGGCCCGCACAAGCGGCGGAGCAUGCGGAUUAAUUCGAUGCAACGCGAAGAACCUUACCAAGGCUUGACAUAUACGAGAACGGGCCAGAAAUGGUCAACUCUUUGGACACUCGUAAACAGGUGGUGCAUGGUUGUCGUCAGCUCGUGUCGUGA
rnacentral:rRNA from 1 species